AGCGAACGCUGGCGGCAGGCCUAACACAUGCAAGUCGAACGAAGUCUUCGGACUUAGUGGCGGACGGGUGAGUAACACGUGGGAACGUGCCCUUUGGUACGGAAUAACUCAGGGAAACUUGAGCUAAUACCGUAUGUGCCCUUCGGGGGAAAGAUUUAUCGCCAUUGGAGCGGCCCGCGUCUGAUUGGCUAGUUGGUGAGGUAAUGGCUCACCAAGGCUACGAUCAGUAGCUGGUCUGAGAGGAUGACCAGCCACAUUGGGACUGAGACACGGCCCAAACUCCUACGGGAGGCAGCAGUGGGGAAUCUUGCGCAAUGGGCGAAAGCCUGACGCGGCCAUGCCGCGUGGAUGAUGAAGGUCUUAGGAUUGUAAAAUCCUUUCACCGGUGAAGAUAAUGACUGUAGCCGGAGAAGAAGCCCCGGCUAACUUCGUGCCAGCCGCCGCGGUAAAAC
rnacentral:rRNA from 1 species